rnacentral:rRNA from 1 species
AUUGAACGCUGGCGGCAGGCCUAACACAUGAAAGUCGAACGAGUGGCGGACGGGUGAGUAAUGACUGGGAAACUGCGCGAUGGAGGGGGAUAACUAAUGGAAACGGUAGCUAAUACCGCAUACCAUCGGAUGUGCCCAGAUGGGAUUAGCUAGUAGGUGGGGUAACGGCUCAACUAGGCGACGCUCCCUAGCUGGCUUGAGAGGAUGAACAGCCACACUGGCACUGAGACACGGUCCAGACUCCUACGGGAGGCAGCAGUGGGGAAUAUUGCACAAUGGGCGCAAGCCUGAUGCAGCCAUGCCGCGUGGAUUAAGAAGUCCUUCGGGUUGUAAAGUACUUUCAGCGAGGAGGCGUUACUCGCAGAAGAAGCACCGGCUAACUCCGUGCCAGCAGCCGCGGUAAUAC